GAGUAUAAAUUUUUGAUCCUGGCUCAGAUUGAACGCUGGCGGAAUGCUUUACACAUGCAAGUCGAGCGGCAGCGCGGGGCAACCUGGCGGCGAGCGGCGAACGGGUGAGUAACACAUCGGAACGUGCCCAGACGUGGGGGAUAGCCCGGCGAAAGCCGGAUUAAUACCGCAUGUGAUCUGAGGAUGAAAGUGGGGGACCGCAAGGCCUCACGCGUUUGGAGCGGCCGAUGGCAGAUUAGGUAGUUGGUGGGGUAAAGGCUUACCAAGCCUGCGAUCUGUAGCUGGUCUGAGAGGAUGAUCAGCCACACUGGGACUGAGACACGGCCCAGACUCCUACGGGAGGCAGCAGUGGGGAAUUUUGGACAAUGGGCGCAAGCCUGAUCCAGCCAUUCCGCGUGCAGGACGAAGGCCUUCGGGUUGUAAACUGCUUUUGUACGGAACGAAAGGGCUCUCUCUAAUACAGGGGGCAUAUGACGGUACCGUAAGAAUAAGCACCGGCUAACUACGUGCCAGCAGCCGCGGUAAUACGUAGGGUGCAAGCGUUAAUCGGAAUUACUGGGCGUAAAGCGUGCGCAGGCGGUUUUGUAAGACAGAGGUGAAAUCCCCGGGCUCAACCUGG
rnacentral:rRNA from 1 species